rnacentral:rRNA from 1 species
CCUACGGCAGGCUGCAGUGGGGAAUAUUGCACAAUGGGGGAAACCCUGAUGCAGCGACGCCGCGUGAGUGAAGAAGCGUUUCGGCGCGUAAAGCUCUGUCAGCGGGGAAGAAACACGGUUCGCGAGAGCCGCGGACGGUACCCGACCAAGAAGCCCCGGCUAACUACGUGCCAGCAGCCGCGGUAAUACGUAGGGGGCAAGCGUUAUCCGGAUUCACUGGGGGUAAAGGGAGCGUAGACGGCGAGACAAGUUUGGAGUGAAAGGCCGGGGCCCAACCCCGGAACUGCUCUGGAAACUGCCUGGCUAGAGAACAGGAGAGGUAGGUGGAAUUCAUGGUGUAGCGGUGAAAUGCGUAGAUAUUAGGAGGAACACCAGUGGCGAAGGCGGCUUACUGGACUGUAACUGACGUUGAGGCUCGAAAGCGUGGGGAGCAAACAGGAUUAGAUACCCUGGUAGUC